CAAAGGGUAGUUUAAUAAAAGAUUCCGGUUUUGGGGACCGGUGAUAAAGGUUUAAGUCCUUUUCUUUUGA
rnacentral:tRNA from 1 species